ACUAGAGGUGCAGCAACUGAGUCAUGAGCGGGAGGAGCUUGCUGCUCAACUGGGACCACUGCCUGCUAUUCAGCCUACAGGAUUUCCCCUUUAUAUUUUCUUCUCUCCCAGAGCUUUGUACCAAAGCACACAUCAAAGACAGAGCCUGUGAUGAUGGAUAUCCGGCAUGAUUCUUCUCAGCACUCAGUGGGCUUUUCCUAGCAUCUCCCAGUUGCUUCUUCCUGACUGUAUUCAUUAUCUGCCUUCAAAGCAGUCCCACAGACCUCCCUUCUCAGGAGGAUCUAAGAGUUCUUACACAGCUCCCACUGUGCAUUGGCGAAAUCUGCUCAGGACUGUCUUCACCAAUUUGUGUGAGCAGUUUCGCUUCAUAUAUUUCUUGAACAUUUUUGAAAUUUAAAUAGCAAGUUUGGUUAAUUCAGCAUACACUCAUAAUUAGUUUCCUCCUGAUUCCUUUUUGCCUCUCAUUUCCAAGUGGAAAAUUGUCACUCAGAGACAUUCUUUAAAGAGCAAGGUGCUUUCAAAUUACCUGGAAAGAUUCACACUGAGUCCAGAUGAGCCUGACUUGAAAGAGAAGAUGUUCCAGUUUUCUUUCAGCUCCUUGUCGUGUUAUCCUGCAGUCUUGAUUGCUUAUAUGUGAAUAUUGAAUGAUUAACACCAAUGUUCCAGGGCUGAGUUCCCAGUCCACCAGUGCCAGUUCAAGCACCACCACAUGACAUCCCAAACUUACCCAGCCUUCCAAUGCAGGGUCAGAUCAGCCACCUCCACAGAAAAGAAUCAUGCAACUGCACCACUGUUCAUGUCAUUUUGUGCCUGUAAAUCUACUUGCCCAGCUAUGGAAAGCUACACUAAACUCUCAGGAAACAUUUACU